AGUGAACGCUGGCGGUAGGCCUAACACAUGCAAGUCGAACGGCAGCACAGUAAGAGCUUGCUCUUACGGGUGGCGAGUGGCGGACGGGUGAGGAAUACAUCGGAAUCUACUUUUUCGUGGGGGAUAACGUAGGGAAACUUACGCUAAUACCGCAUACGACCUACGGGUGAAAGCAGGGGAUCUUCGGACCUUGCGCGAUUGAAUGAGCCGAUGUCGGAUUAGCUAGUUGGCGGGGUAAAGGCCCACCAAGGCGACGAUCCGUAGCUGGUCUGAGAGGAUGAUCAGCCACACUGGAACUGAGACACGGUCCAGACUCCUACGGGAGGCAGCAGUGGGGAAUAUUGGGCAAUGGGCGAAAGCCUGAUCCAGCCAUACCGCGUGAGUGAAGAAGGCCUUCGGGUUGUAAAGCCCUGUUGUUGGGAAAGAAAAGCAGCAGGUUAAUACCCCGCUGUUCUGACGGUACCCAAAGAAUAAGCACCGGCUAACUUCGUG
rnacentral:rRNA from 1 species